AGCUUUGCGCAGUGGCAGUAUCGUAGCCAAUGAGGUUUAUCCGAGGCGCGAUUAUUGCUAAUUAAUGUCUUUGAUAAUAUAUUAAGUACACAAGAUUGGGUAAAACUGAUUGGAUGACAUUAGAAAACAUUCUUCAUAAAA